rnacentral:rRNA from 1 species
AAUGCGUAGAGAUCUGGAGGAAUACCGGUGGCGAAGGCGGCCCCCUGGACAAAGACUGACGCUCAGGUGCGAAAGCGUGGGGAGCAAACAGGAUUAGAUACCCUGGUAGUCCACGCCGUAAACGAUGUCGAUUUGGAGGUUGUGCCCUUGAGGCGUGGCUUCCGGAGCUAACGCGUUAAAUCGACCGCCUGGGGAGUACGGCCGCAAGGUUAAAACUCAAAUGAAUUGACGGGGGCCCGCACAAGCGGUGGAGCAUGUGGUUUAAUUCGAUGCAACGCGAAGAACCUUACCUGGUCUUGACAUCCACAGAACUUUCCAGAGAUGGAUUGGUGCCUUCGGGAACUGUGAGACAGGUGCUGCAUGGCUGUCGUCAGCUCGUGUUGUGAAAUGUUGGGUUAAGUCC